GGGUUGUGAGGUUAAGCGACUAAGCGUACACGGUGGAUGCCCUGGCAGUCAGAGGCGAUGAAGGACGUGCUAAUCUGCGAAAAGCGUCGGUAAGGUGAUAUGAACCGUUAUAGCCGGCGAUGUCCGAAUGGGGAAACCCAGUGCAAUUCGUUGCACUAUCGUUAACUGAAUACAUAGGUUAACGAGGCGA
rnacentral:rRNA from 2 species